UAUUCCAAUACCUGGGUGCACCAAUACCCCCAUCUUCCACUUUUCCAUUCUUUUAACAGUUUAACCCAAAACACCGACCACCUCCUCCUUUCAAUAUGAAUGAACAAGUGAUUAUCAAGGCUUGGAGUUAAUUAAUGUUGUUUAAUCUAUCAGUUCCAACUCCCUACGUAUUUAUCAGAGGUUUAUCAAAGUUGCAAAGUCUGAAGUCUCGUAAGUAGGGGAGGGGAAGACUGGAGAUAGAGAAAAAGGGAGAAGAAGAUAGGGUAGGUGGGGAUUUGCCAAGUCAUCACGGGAGUAACCAGAUGUCUCUUUUUAACUGGCUAAUGAUUCAUCGUGGGAUUUAUACCUUUUAGACACGGUUCGGUGAGAAUUCAAGUAGCCAAGAAACUUCAUUUACACCCGAAGAGAACUUUAGAGUCAAUUAUUUCUUAUACAUCGUUGAUCAAGAUCGUUUUUCGCUUGAGACAAGAUUUGAGCAAUUCAAAGAGUACGAGAAAUUAUUUUGAUUUUUGUUUCCACAUAACUUGAAGGGAAUUGAAGAUAAAGAGCUUAAGUUGUCAUGCCACCUUCUUGAAAAUGCACUCAGGUUUGAAGAAAGAUCGGAUAUUGAUGCUGAUGAACUUUAUAUAGAGUUGAAGUUAUUUGACACGUUACAAAUUGAUGAAUUUCACAACCCUAUAGAUGUUUUAAAGCGUUUGAAAGAGCUUGGUUAUUUUCCAAAUGAAAUCAUUGCAUACAGAAUAUUGUUGAUAGGAUUGGCCAUGAUAGCUAUCGAGAACGAAAUCUUAGAGAACAUAAAUUGUGAAGAGCUAAUUAACUAAUUUGCUAUGAAUGUCAGGAAAGCUUCAUGGAUCAUCGGGUAAAUAAGUAACUACUAUGAUAUGUAAUUCUAAAAUUGUGAUCUUAUUAUGCAUAUAUAUUUUUUUGUUAUAAUACUAGUUAUCGCUUAUAAAAAAGUUAUUUA